GCCAGACUCCUACGGGAGGCAGCAGUGGGGAAUAUUGCACAAUGGGGGAAACCCCGAUGCAGCGACGCCGCGUGAAGGAUGAAGUAUUUCGGUAUGUAAACUUCUAUCAGCAGGGAAGAAAAUGACGGUACCUGACUAAGAAGCCCCGGCUAACUACGUGCCAGCAGCCGCGGUAAUACGUAGGGGGCAAGCGUUAUCCGGAUUUACUGGGUGUAAAGGGAGCGUAGACGGCAUGGCAAGUCUGAUGUGAAAACCCGGGGCUCAACCCCGGGACUGCAUUGGAAACUGUCAGGCUAGAGUGUCGGAGAGGCAGGCGGAAUUCCUAGUGUAGCGGUGAAAUGCGUAGAUAUUAGGAGGAACACCAGUGGCGAAGGCGGCCUACUGGACGGUGACUGACGCUGAGGCUCGAAAGCGUGGGGAGCAAACAGGAUUAGAUACCCGCGUAC
rnacentral:rRNA from 1 species